CUACCUACCCCCACCCUUGCCCCCACCCCACCUCCUGCUGCCAUCCCCAACCCCCUGCCCCUACUGCCACACCCCCUGCGCUGUCCUGCCUGCUGCAGUGCCACAAGUGUCAGCUGUAGUAUUUGGGGCUGACAUUUCAGAUUGCUCCCGGGGCUGUAGGAAUAGUGGGAGAACAUCUCUUGCCCUUUUCUCCCUGACACUGAGGUGUGGGUAAGAACAAAGAUGAGACGGGACUGCCGGGUAAGGGUUCUGUUCCUAGCUCUGACACCUCAGGCACUUCGCUUGUCUUGGGUGCAUCUACACAGCCAAGUGCAGAGCCUCGGUCCAGGGGCUUGCACCGCGGCGCCACAAGGCGGUGGAGACGUUCGAGUUUGGGCUCUGAAGCUAGGCAGCCAGGAGGACUUCAGGACCCAAGCUCCAGCGAGCCAAACAGCUGCACUGCAAUUUCUGGGCUGUCACGGGAGCCCAGGUCUGUUGACUGGGCUGUGAGGCUCAGUGCUGCGGGCUGCCACUCGCUGUGCGGAGGCACCCAGCGUCCCUCGGUUUUCCAACUCGCAAAACGGAGCUGGCAAUAACCUGCCUCGCAGAGGAGCAGGAAGCAGAGCAUGCCCCCUGCAGAGCAUUCACUAUUCCUGCCAGCCCAGAGUGAGAGACAGGACCAGAGGGAUCAAUUCACCUGCAGCAGGCACAGCCAGAAUCCCUUUCACCUACAAUGAUGGCAGGUUGUCAAUUACAAUGGAAAGAAGAAAAGCCACACAUUUGAAGAUCCUGCUGAAUAAGAGACUUUCUUAGUGAAGCAGCACUCAGAGGGACUAAAAAAAUCAGAAUAAUGGUAGCAGGAAAUAAUCUUAAAGCAAAAUCCAUGUAUCUUCUAAAUGAUAUAACUUCAAAUCCAUGUCUCGAGAUGGUAAAUUAACAUAAUUUCAGAUUCUGUCUGCAUUUCGCAGAUGUUAGAUGUGUGAAAUGUAGUUUCGUAGUCAUUGUCCAGACCGGACUCCAAAAACAUUGAUCCAUACUGACCCAAAUGGAAGUCACUAAGGAGAUCCCAAGGACAUCUGAGCUGAUGCCCCUGUAUUAAAAGCAGCUAAUCAAUAUCAAAGAGAUAGACAAUCCCUUGGAAUUUCCCAAGGCAGCCUUCAGAUGAUAGUAGCUUUUGAUCACUGCUGAUAGGGGCUGGAGUUGAAGUAGUGACUUAAGAGGCGAAGUGCUCUGUAGCCUAGUAUCAGCAUCCUUGAGCCAUCCUAUCCCCCAACACCAGUCUCUUAUGAUUGCUAAAUAAUUUCCAUCACUUGGCAUCAGUCUCUGAGUCAGGGUUAAUCCAGAUUUUCAUUGUUGUGGACAUCAGGAUAAAGAUAAAGAAGUAAGUGCUUUGUUUUCCAUACACAGGGCUUUUGUCUUACAUUAUUGCCAUUCCCAGCCAUGGCCCAGGACCCCAGUGUGCUAGGAGCCGUUCAGGCACAGAACAAAAAGGUGGUCCUUUCCCUGAAGAGCUUACAAUCAAAGGUCUUGAUAAAGUAGUGGCACUCUAAGUAGUCGUCUUGCUCCUGGCCCAUCAUCCCAGCCCUACAGUGAUACUGAGUGCUCUUAAGAUCACCCAAUUCCAGCAGCUGGCGGCUUUAAGAAAAACCCCAAAAUAGUGUGAUUCAUGGUAAAAAUCAUGCAAGUUGGCUGGCCCUUUGUGCUGCCCCUUGACCCUCAAACUUUCCUAACAAAACUAGCCUACCCCCCAGAGCCAGCAGAGUUAACACCAUGUGUUGGGAUCACUACAGCUCUCCCAUGCUGAGAAGGGUCUGGCCUGGACAGUAUGAAGACAGGAGACCUCUAUGGAUUAAAGAAGGUGCUGUAGGAAGUGGUAUGGGGGGGAUGCAACCUGGGACGCUCUUCCUGCUGUCUGUGCUGAAUCAAUGUUACUAUACAGGGCUAGGAGGCGCUUGGUUUUGAAUGAAAUGUAAAACCAAGAUCCCAAGCAUGUGAAGGUAAUCGAGAUCACCAGAAGCUUUUAGGAACUGUAGGAUUAUGAUUCAUGAGCUCUCGUCUCCCGGGGUAGUUUCCAACUUAGGUAAUUAACUUCUGCUGACCUAAAUCCUUCCCCAUUUGCAUUUAAAAUCAGAUACAGAAUUCUUCUUCACUUCACUUCCUGUUGUGUAGCACUGUAUGCUGUUCACAAGCUGCUGCCUUCUACCGCAAAAGUGGCUGCAUUUCAGAUGCUGAAGAAGCAUUCCUUGCAUGCAUGCAAUCUGUGCAGGGCAUUGUGUUGAAGGUGUUGCGCUGUUGUCAUUAUUAUUAUUACAUUUUAAUUAUUUACCAUCCAAGAUUAUCCUGAAGGGGGAGUGGAGCCAGUUAGACGCUGUGAAAAGACAGUGCCCUGAGCAAAAUACUAGGCUGAGUGAGCUGGAACUGAAGCAGCCACAUCAGGAGUAUUUGGCAGAGAGUAGAGACAGCAGAGUACAGGGAACAGGUGGAGGUGUGAAGUGAAGCAGGGAGAGACGGAAAAGAGGGAUCAAGCUGGUGAAAAGCAGAAAGAAGAGGACAGGCCAGGAAUUAGAAAGGAGAGGAGGGAUGUAUCCUGCUAGAGUGAGCCGCUGUAACCAGAGCCCCUGCAUGCAUUGCUGAGGUUUUACACAGGUUAAAUUUAGUACCAAAUGUACAGCUCAGCAGAACAGGUUCCUGGGGAAGAUGCAGUUGGACUCGAAGGAGUUUGCAUCAUGCUUAAAACAGGCAGUGCCAAGCCGCUAACCAUUCCUAACGGGUGGGGUUGGUGGAGCAGCCUUCUCACCUGCUUUUCCCUUAUAGGGUGUUGGAAGAGCUGGAGCCCAUACCCUGGAGGGAAGCCUCCCUGCAGGCAGAUGGGCUGAGGACCAACUAGUACAUUGCCUCAGGAAGGAAGGGAAGGGAAGUGGGCCAGGCAAUACACCAACGCUGAGAAGUACCAACUGGUGCUGACCAAGGAAACUGCCACAUCGGGACACACUAACAGUCCUUCUAGCUGGGACUCCUGUGGCUGAUGCCAACUGCUCCUGAGCAGAGACAUCCAACAUCUGCCAGAAGAGGGUAUUUUUGAGUGUAAUACUGUCAAUGGC